AACGAACGCUGGCGGCGUGGAUUAGGCAUGCAAGUCGGACGAUCCCGAGCAAUCGGGAUAGUGGCAAAAGGGUGAGUAACACGUGGGUAACCUACCUUCGAAAUCGGGACAACUUCGCGAAAGCGAGGCUAAUACCGGAUAAGACCACGGUCCUUAAGGACUGCGGUCAAAGAUGGCCUCUAUUUAUAAGCUGUCAUUUGAAGAGGGGCCCGCGUCCUAUCAGCUUGUUGGUGAGGUAACGGCUCACCAAGGCAUUUGACGGGUAGCUGGUCUGAGAGGAUGGUCAGCCACACUGGGACUGAGACACUGCCCAGACUCCUACGGGAGGCUGCAGUCGAGAAUCUUUAGCAAUGGGGGAAACCCUGACUAUGCGACGCCGCGUGAGCGAUGAAGGCCUUCGGGUUGUAAAGCUCUGUCAGGUGGGAUGAAUACCCUGUCCUGAAUAGGGGCAGGGCUUGACCGUACCACCAGAGGAAGCCACGGCUAACUCCGUG
rnacentral:rRNA from 1 species